UGCCGCAGCAUGUUUGCUUUUCAAUUGGGAACUCCUGCUUCUCCUUGCCUUAAAAUGGACCCCACCUGCUCCUGCUCGCCUGGUGGCUCCUGCUGCUGUGCCGGCUCCUGCAAAUGCAAAGAGUGCAAAUGCACCUCCUGCAAGAAGAGCUAGUGCUACUGCUGCCCUGUGGGCUGUGCCAAGUGUCCCCAGGGCUGCAUCUGCAAAGGGACGUUGGACAAGUGUAGUUGCUGUGCCUGA